UACGUAGGGUGCAAGCGUUUGUCCGGAAUUAUUGGGCGUAAAGAGCUCGUAGGCGGUUCGUCGCGUCGGCUGUGAAAACCCGGAGCUCAACUCCGGGCCUGCAGUCGAUACGGGCGGACUUGAGUGUUGCAGGGGAGACUGGAAUUCCAGGUGUAGCGGUGAAAUGCGUAGAUAUCUGGAGGAAUACCGGUGGCGAAGGCGGCAUCCUGGACCGGCAUUGACGCUGAGGAGCGAAAGCCAGGGGAGCAAAGCGGG
rnacentral:rRNA from 1 species